CUUUUGUUGCAGAUGAUCCAAAUGUUGUUGCUAUCCACAUGAAGAAAGGCGUGAGGCGAUAGCUGUAGAGACAUGACAUUGCCACAACAGCGGUAGUGCCAUAUCGGUGGGCUUGUAGAUGCUUCUUCCAUGCGGUCUGCAGACGACAGUGACCUCCUGGUGGCGGUGGUGCUAGAUCGCUGGGGCUGAAGAGGCGCCCUGUUGUCACAACAAGUCUUAGACGUGGUCUGCAGAUUAGAUGAUAGUGACCUCCCUUCCUUGCGACUCAUGGUUUGCUGGAGCUGUAGGAUUCUCCC